CUGGUGUCAGCCGCCGCGGUAAUACCAGCACCCCGAGUGGUCGGGACGAUUAUUGGGCCUAAAGCAUCCGUAGCCGGUCCUGCAAGUCUUCCGUUAAAUCCAGCUGCUCAACAGAUGGGCUGCGGAGGAUACUACAGGGCUAGGAGGCGGGAGAGGCAAGCGGUACUUUAUGGGUAGGGGUAAAAUCCGUUGAUCCAUAGAAGACCACCAGUGGCGAAGGCGGCUUGCCAGAACGCGCUCGACGGUGAGGGAUGAAAGCUGGGGGAGCAAACCGGAUUAGAUACCCGGGUAGUCCCAGCUGUAAACGAUGCAGACUCGGUGAUGGGUUGGCUUCGUGCCAACCCAGUGCCGCAGGGAAGCCGUUAAGUCUGCCGCCUGGGGAGUACGGUCGCAAGACUGAAACUUAAAG
rnacentral:rRNA from 2 species